rnacentral:rRNA from 1 species
AUGGUGGCUGAACUUGAGGAUCACGGCGUGGUCGUCUUCGUUCCACGCCCUGAUGAAAUACUUGCAGCCCUCGACCUUGAUGACACCACGGCGCACGGCAUUGUCCCGGUGAGCGGGGAGGUCGAAGUGGACGAGGAAAGCUUCAGGUUAAUGGGCGGUGACGCGCAGCUGGUGCGGGCCGGUGGAGAGCUGCUCGAAGAUCACCCUGCCGACAGCCGCUGGGGUGGUGGAGUGCGAGCGGUCGGCGGCAGUGAGGGUGACAGCAUGCUGACGCAGGAGGUGCUCCUCGAUCUCCAGCGCCGGGGUGGCCACGAUCACCUUGUGGCUCUCGCGUGGCCGCCUGGCCGGAUCGCAGAGGAGGAGGCGAUCCAUGGGGACAGGGGGAGGUGCGACCGGGAAGACGAGGCGGUCCCGGACCAGGGCGCGCGCGGCAGCGGGCGGCUUCAGGCGGUCACGAGCAGCCCCUCCUGGACCCCCGUUUCGAGGAUUUUGCGGGCACUCCUUGCCGUAAUGCCCAGCUCGCUUGCAGAUGAUGCAGCGGAAGGGAUCACGGCAGUCUUUGCAGCGGUGAAGCUUACUGAGGCAGCGGAAGCAUUUUCCCUUGAAUUUGCUUAA